rnacentral:rRNA from 1 species
AGAGUUUGAUCCUGGCUCAGAUUGAACGUUGGCGGCAUGCUUUACACAUGCAAGUCGAACGGUAACAGGCCGCAAGGUGCUGACGAGUGGCGAACGGGUGAGUAAUGUAUCGGAACGUGCCCAGUCGUGGGGGAUAACGCAGCGAAAGCUGCGCUAAUACCGCAUACGAUCUAUGGAUGAAAGCGGGGGACCGUAAGGCCUCGCGCGAUUGGAGCGGCCGAUAUCAGAUUAGGUAGUUGGUGGGGUAAAGGCUCACCAAGCCAACGAUCUGUAGCUGGUCUGAGAGGACGACCAGCCACACUGGGACUGAGACACGGCCCAGACUCCUACGGGAGGCAGCAGUGGGGAAUUUUGGACAAUGGGCGCAAGCCUGAUCCAGCAAUGCCGCGUGCAGGAAGAAGGCCUUCGGGUUGUAAACUGCUUUUGUACGGAACGAAACGGUCCUGGUUAAUACCUGGGGCUAAUGACGGUACCGUAAGAAUAGCC